ensembl:lncRNA
CAGCCAUUCCCCAACUCUCUGUGAAUGGUACUCAUGGCCAUUGAUCAGUGUUCUUUGAUCAGUGGGUUUUGGUCAGUGAUUGUUGAUCAAUGGUCAUUGGAAUUUGCAUAAUUAUGAUUAAGGAACUGACCUCACAGCCCAUUGUUCCUUCAGUGGGCUGGUUUCAGUCAUUAUGCAAAUGUACUGUUUAUAAGGUUUGGGGAAACCUGCAGUCAGCUGAGACUGAAGAAGUCACUUGGAUGAGUGACGAAACGUUUCUCCCACAAAACGCUACGUCCAGAUGAACAGAUUCAACUUUUGGAGAUUUACUUUCCUGGAUGAUUGAGAAUGCAUCAAGACGUUUCAAAACUUAUCACACAUUUGAUUUCCAUGUGUGACAACUGCAAGUGUCCAGAGUGAGGACAGACUGAGGGACCCACUGCUGCACAUCAUCUGUGAGGCUUUGCACCCCUGAUGAUCCACCAGGACAAACUCAGCAGUGCUGCUGCUAGUCCCCUCUCCACCCUCCGCUCACAGAUGGCUGCUGUAAGAUUGCUCCUGUUUUUGCCUCUAGCAUCUAUUUCUGCAGCGCUACAGCUGGGUUUGCAGGCGAAGCUUGGAGAUGACGUCACUCUCCAUUGUCAGAUUACCACAGAUGAAAGGAUCUCAGUGCUGAAGUGGAGCAGAGCUGACCUGAACACAGACGGCUACGUCUACUUCUACAGGAACAAACGCUCCUAUGAAAACUACCAACAUUCAUCUUUUCAUGGCCGAGUGAAGCUGAGGGACCCGGAGAUGAAGGAUGGAGACGUUUCUCUGAUCCUGAAGAACGUCACGUUUAAUGACACUGGGAUGUAUGAGUGUCACGUAGCAGUGAGGAACCCUGGGAGAAGUAAAAGAGUUCACACUAAGAUCAGUCACUUCAUCAACCUCACAGUCACAGGUGAAACGCAUGAAAAUAUGCAUGAGAGACACAUCGUGGAAAGAGAAGAUGGAAGUGGAAACAUGUAUGACAUGCAACAGGCUGGAAAUCCGCCUGUCCUUAUGUUUGCUGGAGUUACUGCCAUCAUCAUCGUCAUCAUUGUUGUUCCUGCAUUUCUUUUGUUUGUGCUGCUCCUUAAAAUCAUAAGAAACAAAAAACUAGCUGUGCCUCCUAAUCAGGAAGCUACUGGUCUGAAAUGUUAAAGUUUCUUUUUUUUAAAGAAACUUCAAACGCUGAUAUUUACAUUCUUGCAAUAUCAAUUCCUUUUAGUACAUUUAUCAAGUAAUCAAAACUAAAAGAACCUCGCUGUUUCGGUUGAGCAAUUUGACAGUAUUUAGAGGGGGAAAAAAAUAGAAAAAGAAAAAAGCACUCAAGUUGUCUGCAGAGAAGACAAACACAACUUUGCCAGUUGUCUAGAUAACAUUAACCUUAAAAAAAAAAUCAAAAAAAAAAAAAUCCAGUUUUAAAUUUAAAACUGGAUUUUUUUAAAUGCUAAAAAUAGGUUUAGACAAAGUAAAGGAAAUGACUGAUUCUGGGUCAGAAGUCAUCACCAACGAUGAUCCAGACCUCAGGAUUAAAAAGGAACAGUUUUAAUGAUAAAAUGAUUACUGAAGAUGUGCCGCUGGCCUUGAAGCUGAAAAGAGUUAAACUCAGGAUACAUUUCAAGUUGCUGAGUUAAAUAGCAAAGAUUUUUUAUUAAUUAAAAAAACUGAGCUUUUAAAAAUGUGUAGUUUGAGUUUCUCCUUUUCCUCUUUAACUUCAUUUCCCACAGUGAGCAUCUGAGCUUCAGCCCUUUGCACUGUUUCCCCGCCUUCUUUGAACUUUCUGUUUCUGUUCUCGCACACGCUCUGCGUAAAUAAUUUGAUUGGGUGAGCAGCAUCGUGUGGGAUAACCUAUAAUGCACGCGAGUGAUCUGUGCCAUCUUCGGCCAGAUUAAAAUAUAUGGGAAUAAGAACUGUAUGUAUGAGAAAAGGUCCGCAGAGUGAUCGGUAAUAGAUCUGGGUGCAGAUCCAGUCCGUGGUUUGCAUAUUGGUGAUGUGGCAUUAGAUUGAAAAAAAAUACUCAGUGGCUAAACAUGAAUUCAAACCUCCACACAGGUUUAUGUUAAAGGUAAAAACAGAUUUGUUUGAAGGUUGAUGUGGGAUUAAAGGAGUUGUAUCAGCUCUGCAAGCAGAAAACUGAACAGAACCUUAGUCUCAACGUCCUCAUAUUAAUACAGGAAGUUACUGAACACAUGAGACAGAAGCAACAUGUUUUCAUUAUGCUCACCUCAAACAAGCCAACUGAUGAUGCUCAGGUAACAGCAGUGGACGGAAAAAGGCUGGAAUUUGUAUUUUUGGUGCUAUUUUUCUUGGAAUUGUGUGAAUUUUCUUAAUUUAAAUGUAUUAUUUAAUUAAUAAAUUUUUUCCUGUCCUUUCCGAAAGUGUAGCAUUCAGGAUUGCUGAAGGCUAAAAAUGCCCAAUGGUUUACAUUCCCAAGUGGACCAUUAUGGCAUUUGCUACAAUGGUCCACUUGAUAGUUAUAAUUUAUUAAAACUUUAUUAGGAUUUUUUUUUUAUUUUGAGUUAUUACAACCACAGCAGACAAGAACAGGGGACAGAAAAGAAAAAGAGAGAGCGAAAACCUUGAAAAUCUUCCUCAACACCUGAAAUGAAAACAUACAAAGAAAAUAAAGUUUUAAUUUCAGUGGCAGAUCUCACACACGCUGCUCACUGCUGUAAAACUGAAAAUGAGGUUUAGUGAUUAGAAAACUAAAAAGCUGGAGCCAUAAGGUUCUUUCCACAUUAAGAAACUGUGAUUAUGAAAGUUUCAUGCUGACUUGAGAAUUGCUACAACUGACAAACAAAGAAUAUCUUUACACAACACAGUAACCGACCUCUGACUAUAUAAAGAUCAUUUAGAGACAUUUCGCUUUUGUAUUGAAACCACAAAAUAUUAAUUAACAUUAAUUAACAAAAUAAAAAUUCUUUGAUUUGUAUUUAAUUUUGUGUUUCAUUUUAAAAUGUCAUUUUACUGAAAGUUCAUGAACUUCAUGAGCUCUGAAUCCACUCUGUGUCAGCUGCUUUAUGUUCACGCUGAGGUGACCUGUAAUGAUACAUACUCUGCACGAUUAAACUUUCUCCUGCACUCUCUCUGUUUAUCUGCAGUAACAGAAACAGAACAAAUCAUCUUUUUUUCCUCUUCCUCAGUUAAAAAAAAGACGUCUAGAUAGUGUGUGACAGAUUUUAUGUUGAUGAUGUUUGAAUAUUUGUGUCUUCGAUGAUGAUCCUAGUUGUCACUCAAGCUGCUCUGCUGCCACCUGGAGGCUUGAAAGUGUUAAAGCAUCAAUCUACAGCUCAGUGAAUGUGACAUCAGAAUAACCAGCACAGCCAAAGAAUCCUGAAUAAACUGAAGUGUUU